rnacentral:misc_RNA from 1 species
UCCGGCUCAACGCCGGCAGUCUCUCUAGAGUCCCCACCAUUACGUGCUGGCAACUAAAGACGGGGGUUGCGCUCGUUGCGGGACUUAACCCAACAUCUCACGACACGAGCUGACGACAACCAUGCACCACCUGUAUACCGACCAAAAAGGGGCACCCAUCUCUGGAUGUUUCCGGUAUAUGUCAAGCCUUGGUAAGGUUCUUCGCGUUGCAUCGAAUUAAUCCGCAUGCUCCGCCGCUUGUGCGGGCCCCCGUCAAUUCCUUUGAGUUUUAGCCUUGCGGCCGUACUCCCCAGGCGGGGCACUUAAUGCGUUAGCUUCGGCACGGGCGGAGUUGACACCGCCCACACCUAGUGCCCAUCGUUUACGGCGUGGACUAC